rnacentral:rRNA from 1 species
AGUGAACGCUGGCGGCGUGCCUAAUACAUGCAAGUCGAACGGAGAUUAAGUAGCUUGCUAUUUAAUCUUAGUGGCGCACGGGUGAGUAAUAUAUAGCUAACUUGCCCAUUACUAAGGGACAACAGUUGGAAACGACUGCUAAUACCUUAUACUCCGUAUCUAUAUAAGUAGAUACGGGAAAGUUUUUCGGUAAUGGAUAGGGCUAUAUCGUAUCAGCUAGUUGGUAAGGUAAUGGCUUACCAAGGCUAUGACGCGUAACUGGUCUGAGAGGAUGAUCAGUCACACUGGAAGGGAGACACGGGCCAGACUCCUACGGGAAGGAGCAGUAGGGAAUAUUGCUCAAUGGGGGAAACGCUGAAGCAGCAACGCCGCGUGGAGGACGACACUUUUCGGAGCGUAAACUCCUUUUAUUGGGAAAGAAUUAUGACGGUACCCAAGGAAUAAGCACCGGCUAACUACGUG